CCUCCCAAAGUGCUGGGAUUACAGGCGUGAGCCACCGCGCUCGGCUGCCAAGAGUUUUCUUUUUAAUAAACAAAAUUAUAAUAAUGACAAUAAUCUGUUCUGAACUAAACGGCAGCAGUGUCUGAACACCAAGACUGUUUGCUUUAUUAAUAGGUGGCCACAUUUUGUUUUGUCUCAGGAAUCUGUUCAUAACCAGAUAUUAGACAGAAUUUUGGAUUAUUUGAAUGAUGGGUUGGCUCUGGAAGGAGCAUGCUAAAGUUGGGUGAGGCUAUAUAAGGGCUUCUUAGUCCACAUUAUUUCUCAAACCUCCAUAAGUACAUAUAUGUCUGGAGUAAUAGUAACUAUUUCUUAGUUUAUGGCAAGGUAACGUCUGGUAAAAUCCAUUCAUUUAGUCUACAAAUAUUCAAAGAAAACCUACUAUAUUCAUUGUACUGAUGAAUAAGAUACGAUUCCUGACUUAUAUGUAUAAUUUCGUAGAGACUAUUAUAUACUAGACUGAACUCCAAGGUCAGGGUUUAGGUCUGUUUCAAUUUCCAUUUUAUAUCCAGGGAUAGCACAGAAUCAGCCUCAUGGUAGGAGCUCAAUAAAUAACUGGUUGAACAGGCCAAGCGUGGUGGUUCACACCUGUGAUCCCAGCACUUUGGGAGGCCGAGGCAGGUGCGUCACUUAAGGUCAGGAGUUGGAGAACCAGCCUGGCCAACAUGGUGAAACCGCG
rnacentral:lncRNA from 10 species